rnacentral:rRNA from 1 species
GACGAACGCUGGCGGCGUGCCUAAUACAUGCAAGUUGAGCGCUGAAGGUUGGUACUUGUACCAACUGGAUGAGCAGCGAACGGGUGAGUAACGCGUGGGGAAUCUGCCUUCGAGCGGGGGACAACAUUUGGAAACGAAUGCUAAUACCGCAUAAAAACUUUAAACACAAGUUUUAAGUUUGAAAGAUGCAAUUGCAUCACUCAAAGAUGAUCCCGCGUUGUAUUAGCUAGUUGGUGAGGUAAAGGCUCACCAAGGCGAUGAUACAUAGCCGACCUGAGAGGGUGAUCGGCCACAUUGGGACUGAGACACGGCCCAAACUCCUACGGGAGGCAGCAGUAGGGAAUCUUCGGCAAUGGACGAAAGUCUGACCGAGCAACGCCGCGGGAGUGAAGAAGGUUUUCGGAUCGUAAAACUCUGUUGGUAGAGAAGAACGUUGGUGAGAGUGGAAAGCUCAUCAAGUGACGGUAACUACCCAGAAAGGGACGGCUAACUACGUG